AGACGAAGGGCAUAUACCAGUUAAACUCCGCCAUUUUGCCUCUCAGUGUUCAAGCUUGAGCCCACGCAUCCAACUCCUGAGAUCUUACUGGGAAGCUGCUGAUCAUCAGUUUCAGGAAGUCAGCAUGGAUCAGCCUUACGUUCAUGGCCUCCAGGCCCUAUUCUCCUGCCUCACAGGGACCGGCCAGGAUCUCUAUCCUUACAGCACGUUGGAAUGUAUAUGCUCCUCUCCCCACAUCGCCUUAGGGAGCAGGCAGGUGUCAGGGGCAGCACAAGGACGGCCAACAGGACAGGUGCAUAAGUAAGACUGAUACAAUUUGAGGGCUCAGCUCUGAGAAUACUCUAAACAGGAUCCAAAUAACAUUGUUGCCUCCUAACCAGCAGAAGACGGGUUGAAGAUCCGAGAGGCUGAGUCACUUCCACAAAGUAACACAGCUGAUUUUAAAUGCCUGCAUUCAGCAUCCCUGCAGCAGGCUCCAGGUGGAAUUCUAAUGGGACCAGCCUCCAGUCCCUGGACCUUAGCCGUGGAAGGAGAGAAGAGGACAUCUGCACCUCCUCUCAGAGAAAGCCUGAUGCCUACUAAAGGACUUGGGUGGUGGACGCAGUGACCCUCAGUCUGGAGCUUGUUCACUGAACAUUGGAGACUAUCAUUUGCGCAGAUGGUCUUGGGCCUCUAUGAGCAGCAGGCUGCACCCCACAGUGACCUCCUCAUUCUACUCUGAGGCAUCUUCAUGAAAGCAGAUGUCCAUUGAAAAGCACCCAAGUGCAGUCUCAGCUGAUGAACUUCAGAGGCGAUUGAGACAAAGGCUCUCGGUCCCCUCUGCCCUUGGAUGGUGCCUCUGGUAUGCACUUGGCCUCUGUGUCUUUAUUUAGACUGGUCACUUCACAACCCAUCAUGUCACCCCACCCCUAACCGUGCCCACUCUGGGUCCUCCCCUCAACUGCCUGACUUCCCACUUUGAGCUCAGCAAAGGCAAUAGAUGUUUUGUCUGCUUCGAUACCCUAAAUGCAUGGCGUGGAAGCUGGCACACAGUGGGCCCUUGAAAUUUGGGAGUGAAUAUGUAUAUAUAUUAUAUUCCAACCUCAACUUUCCUCACUGCUCCUCAUAGUAGGAAUGGAUUGUAAAACUUCCCAGAAUGUUCAAGAGGAGAAAGGAGAGAAAACAGCCUGGAAUUUGAGCUAAGGGGCCCACAGCCCAGCCACCAAGCCAUCUGUAAAAUGGGGUGGGAAUAUGACAUGAGCCACAGGGGUGCUAUGAGGGUUAAUGAGGUCACCGUGCGAUGUACCAUGCCAACAUGAAUAACCAGACCUCUUGA
ensembl:lncRNA LINC02318 long intergenic non-protein coding RNA 2318